rnacentral:rRNA from 1 species
ACUCCUACGGGAGGCAGCAGUGGGGAAUAUUGCACAAUGGGCGCAAGCCUGAUGCAGCAACGCCGCGUGAGCGAUGAAGGCCUUCGGGUCGUAAAGCUCUGUCCUCAAGGAAGAAUAAAUGACGGUACUUGAGGAGGAAGCCCCGGCUAACUACGUGCCAGCAGCCGCGGUAAUACGUAGGGGCGAAGCGUUAUCCGGAAUCACUGGGCGUAAAGGGUGCGUAGGCGGUUUUUCAAGUCAGAAGUGAAAGGCUAUGGCUCAACCAUAGUAAGCUUUUGAAACUGUUAAAACUUGAGUGCAGGAGAGGAAAGGUGGAAUUCCGUAGUGUAGAGGUUGAAAUUCGUAGAUAUUAGGAGGAACACCAGUGGCGAAGGCGACUUUCUGGACUGUAAC